CUUUUUGGUCCAGAAGCACUGCAGUGAAUGGAAGGGCCUCUCACAGUCAAACUCCAUGGCGCCAAAAUUAAAACCAGCGUUAAGGAUGAAACCGGCAAUAAGGAAAGCAUCACCAGAUUUCUUUACAUUACUUAUUGCAGGACGGAAUUAUUUGAGCAGUAAUGCUUCCAGGACCUUUUGAUUCACCGGACAGAGACCAAUCCAAAACGCAUAAUGCCAGGGAAAAUAUAGAGUUAUACUCUGAAGGAUUUGGAAAAGACUAUUUAGCAAUCACAGCAGCACUUUGGCACUUGUGCGAGAGCGUUGCACGCCUGUGCGAGCACAACCUCGCGUCUCUUCCGUUGGACUUGACUUUGUCUGUAUUUGCAUCCAGCUGUCUUCCUGCACGAUAACCAGAACACCGGAAAUUUGCUGAGGAUGACACACACAAUCAAUGAGGAGAUUUUAGUCAUUGCAUCAAAUUAGCAAAUUCUCAAUCCUGACUAAGAUACAGCUAGAAAACGAGCUGCCAGCAACACCCUCUGAAGCAGAUGGUUCCCACCACUUGGAAUGCUCCUUUCUGUGCACUUCAGCAGCUCCUGAAAUAACAGAGUGCUGCAGAACGGAGAAGGAAGAUGACUGGAAAGUGAGACUCUUUCUUGUGGUUUGAAUGGAGGCACAUAGAAAUGAAAUGACUAUCUAAAGUCACACCAGUCUCCUUCUUUAACCUGGUAAAUGGACUACAAAUGACUUCUAUUGGAAGAGGAAACACAAAGAUGAAGCUAUGGCACUCAGAUUCCUGCAUUCGGACACUUUGUAACACAAAUGCAUUCCUGACUGCAGAUUUGUUUUUCACCCCCACUCAUUGUACUUGGCUUGCAUCAUGCCUUCUUCCUAAGAAGUCCUCUGGAAGGCCUCAGCUCCCCAGCCCCACUCUAUGAUAAGUCGCCGAUUUUCCAUCCUGCCUUUCUCGUGCUUGAUUACAUCAUCCCCUUCCAGAGAAGUGAGUCCAGUGGACCAGAUCCAGAAUUCAUCGGAAGUGACAGGCGCCUGUCAAUGCCAACGCCCGUGGUCCUGGGCAGGGAGGAGGAAAACCAGGUCAUGUCGCCUUGGCGAGGAGGUGCUCGGGAUAAGGAUAACCCAUCUGCGAACACCAUGGGUUCACCCCUUUGAGGCUGGAAGCCCUGAGGGCACAGUGGGUGCCAGCACUGACAUCACCUUUGUCAUGCACCCUUCGCCCAUGAGGAUGCACCAGUGGUUUCAUAGGAACCCACUGCAUGCCCUGCUUUUCCCUGGGUGUUCCAAUACCCACUGCUAUAGCCUGGCAACGUUUGCAGCCAGCAACCCAUUUUUCCAACACACAGCUCUUGCUGCCUCUGAACUUAGCCCUGCAAAAAUAAAAAGUGGGUUUGGCAAUCUCUGAAUUAGACCUGGAUGCAUAAACAGAGGUAAUCCCUUUGUUCUCACUGACAACAGCUUAAGAAAUCCUCACGCAGAGCUCCACAGUGACACAAAACUUAUUUGCUACCACCGCUGAGGUUUAGAAGCAGAAUCCAUUUCAGGUGGACAUAAAAAUCCAGCCCAAUAUUUACUUGCCACUGGAUACAAACGUUUCCCAGUGAAGUCUGCACUAGUGUCAGAGAGGUGGAUAAAUCCUUCAACUUUGUUAAAUGUGGAAUAAAGGAGAGAAUAACUUGAAUUAAAUUCCUGUGCCCACUUGAAAUGAUGUCUGGCUGUGCCUCUGUACCUGUGCCUGAUUUUUGCAUGAAAAUAUUCUCUUUGUCCCUAUCUGGUGUUCUUCUUCAAAAAGGAAUUGAGUUAAAAAAGAAGGCAAUAAUGUAAGAUUUUUAAGCAAACAGUUCAAUAUUUCCUUUAAAAUGUUCUCUGUAUUCAAGAGCACUUUGAUUUCUAUCUUUUUUUUUUUCCUCCAGGCUUUGAAACUGUACCUCUUUUAAAAAAAGACCAUCCCUGAUUUUAGUCUUUUGUUCCUUUAUGAGCUUUGUCCCCGACUUUUAAAUGUGGAGAGAGUUGAGAG
ensembl:lncRNA